UGCAAUGUAGUUUAUUUAAAAUUCUUAUUUUACACGUAAGAGAAUCCAAUUUUGGACUUUGUAA
rnacentral:tRNA from 1 species